UACGGAGGGUGCGAGCGUUGUUCGGAAUCACUGGGCGUAAAGGGCGUGUAGGCGGUCCGCUAAGUCUGAUGUGAAAGCCCGGGGCUCACCCCCGGAAGGGCAUUGGAAACUGACGGACUCGAGUCCCGAAGAGGAGGGUGGAAUUCCUGGUGUAGCGGUGAAAUGCGUAGAUAUCUGGAGGAACACCGGUGGCGAAGGCGGCAUCCUGGACCGGCAUUGACGCUGAGGAGCGAAAGCCAGGGGAGCAAACGGG
rnacentral:rRNA from 1 species